UUGGGUUUAAAGGGAGCGUAGGCCGGAGAUUAAGUGUGUUGUGAAAUGUAGACGCUCAACGUCUGACUUGCAGCGCAUACUGGUUUCCUUGAGUACGCACAACGUUGGCGGAAUUCGUCGUGUAGCGGUGAAAUGCUUAGAUAUGACGAAGAACUCCGAUUGCGAAGGCAGCUGACGGGAGCGCAACUGACGCUGAAGCUCGAAGGUGCGGGUAUCGAACAGGAUUAGAUACCCUGGUAGUCCGCACAGUAAACGAUGGAUGCCCGCUGUUGGUACCUAGUAUCAGCGGCUAAGCGAAAGCAUUAAGCAUCCCACCUGGGGAGUACGCCGGCAACGGUGAAACUCAAAGGAAUUGACGGGGGCCCGCACAAGCGGAGGAACAUGUGGUUUAAUUCGAUGAUACGCGAGGAACCUUACCCGGGCUUGAAUUGCAGAGGAAGGAUUUAGAGAUAAUGACGCCCUUCGGGGUCUCUGUGAAGGUGCUGCAUGGUUGUCGUCAGCUCGUGUCGUGAG
rnacentral:rRNA from 1 species